CGGCAACAGCUCAAAUUUGAAAUCUGGCCUUUGGCCCGAAUUGUAAUUUGUAGAGGAUGCUUUUGGUGCGGCACCGUUCUAAGUUCCUUGGAACAGGGCGUCAUAGAGGGUGAGAAUCCCGUACGUGACCGGUGACCAAUCCUCUGUAAAGCUCCUUCGAC
rnacentral:rRNA from 1 species